ensembl:lncRNA NFE2L1-DT NFE2L1 divergent transcript
GUCUGGCAUUCUGGGCCCCUCGGCCGCGCCUUCGCGGCGGGCGAUGUUAGUGGGCUUGGGCGUUGGGUGAAGUAUCCAGGUUGGGCGCUUCCAGCGCUUUCUGUGGCGGGGGAAUGAAGGCCUAGGUCAGGGAAUAGGAAGGUGUAUCGCCGCCAGAGUGCGGAACACCCUCGCCUUGAGGGUUCCCACAGUGACUUGCAAAAGUCUAGUGAGACCCGAGAAUGCUGAGGCGGGACACGAAGCAUGUGGUUCUUGUGGUUGCGACGCUCGUGCCGCCAUCUUGGGUGCUGGCGGCGGAAACCGGUACCCCAACUUCCCCUCGGUGCGAACCUGGAGAAGCCACCCCAGCUGUGAGGGACGGUUGCGCCUCAUGGCCCAGGCAAGGGUACCUUCGCUGGAGCAGUACCGCGGACGGAUAUCAUGAGGGUGGUGGGACGUUGGCGGAACGUUGGCGGAACGUUGGCGGUGUGAGAGGCUGGACUGGAACUCCUGGACUCAAGCGAUCUUUCCAUUUAUCAGGGACUACUGACGCGUGUCUCCCAAUAAAUACCUGAGUAUAAACAACAUGA